rnacentral:precursor_RNA from 11 species
CAAGUGCCAACAAUAAUCACGAUAUGAAAUAAGUGGAGUAGUGGUCUCAUCGCUUAGUAUUAGAAAAGUGAGAUUCUACUUCUCCGACUUAAUUCAUAUCUAGCUAGAAACAACGUGGGAUU